rnacentral:rRNA from 1 species
UACGAAGGGGGCUAGCGUUGCUCGGAAUCACUGGGCGUAAAGCGCACGUAGGCGGAUCUUUAAGUCAGGGGUGAAAUCCUGGAGCUCAACUCCAGAACUGCCUUUGAUACUGAAGAUCUUGAGUUCGGGAGAGGUGAGUGGAACUGCGAGUGUAGAGGUGAAAUUCGUAGAUAUUCGCAAGAACACCAGUGGCGAAGGCGGCUCACUGGCCCGAUACUGACGCUGAGGUGCGAAAGCGUGGGGAGCAAACAGG